UACGUAGGAGGCGAGCGUUGUCCGGAGUUACUGGGCGUAAAGGGUGCGCAGGCGGCCGCCGCGCGUGGGUGGUGGAAAUCUCCCGGCCUCAACUGGGAGGGGGCCAGUCCAGACGGCGUGGCUUGAGGCUCGGAGGGGGGCGUGGAAGUUCCGGGUGGAGCGGUGAAAUGCGGUAGAUAUCACUUGGAACGCCCAAUGGUGAAGACGAGCUCGCUGG
rnacentral:rRNA from 1 species